UACGUAGGGGGCUAGCGUUGUCCGGAUUUAUUGGGCGUAAAGAGCGUGUAGGCGGCCAUGUAGGUCCGGUGUGAAAACUCGAGGCUUAACCUCGAGAUGUCAUCGGAAACCAUUUGGCUAGAGUCCGGAAGAGGAGAGUGGAAUUCCUGGUGUAGCGGUGGAAUGCGCAGAUAUCAGGAGGAACACCAAUAGCGAAGGCAGCUCGCUGGGACGGUACUGACGCUAAGGCGCGAAAGCGUGGGGAGCGAACAGG
rnacentral:rRNA from 1 species